AUUGAACGCUGGCGGCAGGCCUAACACAUGCAAGUCGAACGAGUGGCGGACGGGUGAGUAAUGUCUGGGAAACUGCCUGAUGGAGGGGGAUAACUACUGGAAACGGUAGCUCAUACCGCAUACCAUCGGAUGUGCCCAGCUGGGAUUAGCUGGUUGUUGGGGUAAAGGCUCACCAGGGCGACGAUCCCUACCUGUUCUGCGAGGAUGACCAGCCACACUGGAACGGAGAAACGGUCCAGACGCCUACGGGAGGCAGCAGUGGGGAAUAUUGCACAAUGGGCGCAAGCCUGAUGCAGCCAUGCCGAGUGUAUGAAGAAGGCCUUCGGGUUGUAAAGUACUUUCAGCGGGGAGGCGUUACCCGCAGAAGAAGCACCGGCUAACUCCGUGCCAGCAGCCGCGGUAAUUC
rnacentral:rRNA from 1 species